UCUGUCUCCAGCCAGCGGAAUCUGGUGGGGGGUGAUACUGAUGGAGACCUCGCUCGCUUCCCUAGGGGGUUCUGCGGCACCUUUUGGAUUCAUUACAGGCACAGGCCCUAAGAAACUCAAUGCCUUGGUUGAGAUUUUACAGCAAUUCCCUUUGGCCUGUAUCCCUGGUACCAGCAGAGGAGACAAGGGGACCCAGCUGGAAAGAUGGCCUUUAGACUGAGUGUAUGUCACUGCAGCAGUCACAGAUCUGACUUUCUGAGUCAUUGUGCUGUCUUACGCUAGCUGUUCCCCUUGGGAUUUCAUGGAGAUGAGCAGUGUGCAUUUGAGUGAUGUGCCAUUUGCUCCCUAAUGGCAGCAAGCAAAGUUUCAGUGAAAAAAAUGAUACCAGUCAACCUUGUGGAAAGGCCAUCUCCGAACAAGUGGAGCAGCAGAGCAUGAAACAUUCCUUCUCAUCUUUUUGCUCAGCUGUUCAGGAAAUGGCAUAUGGAAAACCAAACCGUUACUUCCCACAAGUGUUUUGUCUGGGUUUAAAUAGAGUUUGUGGGUUAUAUAAUAGUGAGUUUGCACCAGCCUGGCAAAGGCAAGGUCGGACAGUGUAGUUAGCUCUAUCCAUUACCAGAGCUGCUAUUAAGCUUGACAGACCACUUUCCUUGCCUAAACUGUAAAUUUUCAAGGGAAGGAACUUUCUCUAAGUAUGUGUUUGUAGAGGAGGACAAUUUGAGAUGAUCCUGUGCAAGGUACUGCUGCAAUGCAGACUGCUGGAGUUGACAAACACUGAGUUUGUCAUAAGGUUGUAUUCGAUACGGAAGGAAAUACAACUGAACUGGUGGGUGGCACAGUAGGUGUUGAAACAACCAUUCUGAAGAAAAUGUCACAGACUGAAGUUUGAUGGAUAACAUUUCAUUUUUGCAUGCCACCGGGUGGAAGGAAAGAGCCCAUCUGUUCCCCAAGCAUUGCACAUUGUCAAGCAAACUGCUCACAACUUGGCACAUCAGAGCAUUCAAAGAAAAAUAAAAUAGAUAAAUAAAAAAAGCCAACCAUAGAGGAGCAUGAAUACAAGAUGAGUCAUUGAAGUUUACCCAAAAGCAACAUAAAAAUGAUGGUCCUUGCCAGGAAUUUAUGCCAGGGUAUUCUCACGGGCUUGGCUUGCCGGGACGGGCAGGCAUAGAGGGAAAGCAGCGGGGAAUAGGGGUGCAUUCUUCUGCCACCAAGGCUGGCAAGGGCCACUUGGCUGC